rnacentral:rRNA from 1 species
AUUGAACGCUGGCGGCAGGCCUAACACAUGCAAGUCGAGCGAGAUCUUCGGGUCUAGCGGCGAACGGGUGAGUAACGCGUGGGAGUAUGCCUCUUGGUACGGAAUAGCCUCGGGAAACUGGGAGUAAUACCGUAUGUGCCCUUUGGGGGAAAGAUUUAUCGCCAAGAGAUUAGCCCGCGUUGGAUUAGGUAGUUGGUGGGGUAAUGGCCUACCAAGCCGACGAUCCAUAGCUGGUUUGAGAGGAUGAUCAGCCACACUGGGACUGAGACACGGCCCAGACUCCUACGGGAGGCAGCAGUGGGGAAUCUUAGACAAUGGGGGCAACCCUGAUCUAGCCAUGCCGCGUGAGUGAUGAAGGCCUUAGGGUUGUAAAGCUCUUUCAGCUGGGAAGAUAAUGACGGUACCGCAAGAAUAAGCCCCGGCUAACUUCGUGCCAGCAGCCGCGGUAAUACGAAGGGGGCUAGCGUUGCUCGGAAUCACUGGGCGUAAAGGGUGCGUAGGCGGGUCUUUAAGUCAGGGGUGAAAUCCUGGAGCUCAACUCCAGAACUGCCUUUGAUACUGAAGAUCUUGAGUUCGGGAGAGGUGAGUGGAACUGCGAGUGUAGAGGUGAAAUUCGUAGAUAUUCGCAAGAACACCAGUGGCGAAGGCGGCUCACUGGCCCGAUACUGACGCUGAGGCACGAAAGCGUGGGGAGCAAACAGG